rnacentral:rRNA from 1 species
GACGAACCGUGCGAACGUUAUUCGGAAUCACUGGGCUUAAAGCGCGUGUAGGCGGACGGGGAACGUCGGAACCUGAAAGCCCCCCGGCUCAACCGGGGAAGCGGGGCCGAAACGACCCGUCUGGAGGGACGUAGGGGGAGUCUGGGAACUUCCGGUGGAGCGGUGAAAUGCGUUGAGAUCGGAAGGAACGCCCGUGGCGAAAGCGAGAUCCUGGACGUCUACUGACGCUGAGACGCGAAAGCUGAGGGGAGCGAACGGGG